rnacentral:rRNA from 1 species
UCCAACGCGUUGGGAGCUCUCCCAUAUGGUCGACCUGCAGGCGGCCGCGAAUUCACUAGUGAUUCGUAUUACCGCGGCUGCUGGCACGAAGUUAGCCGGGACUUAUUCUGCGGGUACCGUCAUUAUCGUCCCCGCCAAAAGAGCUUUACAACCCUAAGGCCUUCGUCACUCACGCGGCAUGGCUGGAUCAGGCUUGCGCCCAUUGUCCAAGAUUCCCCACUGCUGCCUCCCGUAGGAGUCUGGGCCGUGUCUCAGUCCCAGUGUGGCUGGUCAUUCUCUCAAACCAGCUACGGAUCGUUGCCUUGGUGAGCCGUUACCUCACCAACUAGCUAAUCCGACGCGGGCCCAUCCAAUGGCGAUAAAUCUUUCCCCGUAAGGGCUUAUUCGGUAUUAGCACAAGUUUCCCUGUGUUGUUCCGAACCAAAAGGUACGUUCCCACGCGUUACUCACCCGUCUGCCGCUGACGUAUUGCUACGCCCGCUCGACUUGCAUGUGUUAAGCCUGCCGCCAGCGUUCGCUCUGAGCCAUGAUCAAACUCUAAUCGAAUUCCCGCGGCCGCCAUGGCGGCCGGGAGCAU